rnacentral:rRNA from 1 species
GAUGAACGCUGGCGGCGUGCCUAAUACAUGCAAGUCGAGCGAACAGACGAGGAGCUUGCUCCUCUGACGUUAGCGGCGGACGGGUGAGUAACACGUGGAUAACCUACCUAUAAGACUGGGAUAACUUCGGGAAACCGGAGCUAAUACCGGAUAAUAUAUUGAACCGCAUGGUUCAAUAGUGAAAGACGGUUUUGCUGUCACUUAUAGAUGGAUCCGAGCCGCAUUAGCUAGUUGGUAAGGUAACGGCUUACCAAGGCAACGAUGCGUAGCCGACCUGAGAGGGUGAUCGGCCACACUGGAACUGGGACACGGUCCAGACUCCUACGGGAGGCAGCAGAAGGGAAUCGUCCGCAAUGGGCGGAAACCUGACGGAGCGACGGCGCGUGAGUGAUGAAGGUCUUCGGAUCGUAAAACUCUGUUAUUAGGGAAGAACAAAUUUGUAAGUAACUAUGCACGUCUUGACGGUAACUAAUCAGAAAGCCACGGCUAACUACGUG